rnacentral:rRNA from 1 species
UACGUAGGUGGCAAGCGUUGUCCGGAUUUACUGGGCGUAAAGAGCGCGCAGGCGGUCGAUUUAGUCGUGUGUGAAAGCCCCCGGCUCAACUGGGGAGGGUCACGCGAUACUGAUCGACUCGAAGGCAGGAGAGGGUAGUGGAAUUCCCGGUGUAGUGGUGAAAUGCGUAGAUAUCGGGAGGAACACCAGUGGCGAAAGCGGCUUCCUGGGCCAGUACCGACGUUCAGGCACGAAAGCGUGGGGAGCAAACAGG